rnacentral:rRNA from 1 species
CGGACGGGUGAGUAAUGGCUGGGAAACUGCCUGAUGGAGGGGGGUAACUACUGGAAACGGUAGCUAAUACCGCAUAACGUCGCAAGACCAAAGAGGGGGACCUUCGGGCCUCUUGCCAUCGGAUGUGCCCAGAUGGGAUUAGCUAGUAGGUGGGGUAACGGCUCACCUAGGCGACGAUCCCUAGCUGGUCUGAGAGGAUGACCAGCCACACUGGAACUGAGACACGGUCCAG